rnacentral:rRNA from 1 species
UGUGCUAAUACCGCAUAAUCUCUCAGGAGAAAAGCAGGGGAUCGCAAGACCUUGCGCUUUAGGAGCGGCCGAUGCCUGAUUAGCUUGUUGGUAAGGUAAAAGCUUACCAAGGCUUCGAUCAGUAGCUGGUCUGAGAGGACGACCAGCCACACUGGGACUGAGACACGGCCCAGACUCCUACGGGAGGCAGCAAGUGGGGAAUUUUGGACAAUGGGGGAAACCCUGAUCCAGCCAUGCCGCGUGGGUGAAGAAGGCCUUCGGGUUGUAAAGCUCUUUCAGCCGGAACGAAACGGU